rnacentral:rRNA from 1 species
UACGUAGGUGGCAAGCGUUGUCCGGAAUUAUUGGGCGUAAAGCGCGCGAAGGCGGUCCUUUAAGUCUGAUGUGAAAGCCCACGGCUCAACCGUGGAGGGUCAUUGGAAACUGGGGGACUUGAGUACAGAAGAGGAAAGCGGAAUUCCACGUGUAGCGGUGAAAUGCGUAGAGAUGUGGAGGAACACCAGUGGCGAAGGCGGCUUUCUGGUCUGUAACUGACGCUGAGGCGCGAAAGCGUGGGGAGCAAACAGG